rnacentral:sRNA from 1 species
UGAUUGGGAAAUCAAUGGGAGGACAAGCGGCGUGGGGAUGCCUUAAGUAGAACCGUCAAAUGGUCAUCUGACCAUGGGCUAAGCCCAGUCCACAACAUUAUGGACAGUCCAUGGUCGACCCGUCACGAAAACGGGUUAAAUGGUCUAAAGACCAAUUAUGUCCGCGGAUUUAAUGGGCUAGCCCACACGGUCUAUGGUUGGUCCAUCAAUUUUCUCAACACAUCAAUUUUCUUCUCUUCUCUAUCUCGGCGACGAAGCUCUCUCUCUCUCGCUUCGACCUCUCUCUCAACUCCUACUCCCGUUAGUUCUACUAUAAUAUGAAUCCGUUGAUUAGAAUAAGUUCUCUCUAAAAUAUGCGUUCAU